AUUGAACGCUGGCGGCAGGCCUAACACAUGCAAGUCGAGCGGUAACAGAGAGAAAGCUUGCUUUCUUUGCUGACGAGCGGCGGACGGGUGAGUAAUGCCUGGGAAUAUGCCUUGAUGUGGGGGAUAACCAUUGGAAACGAUGGCUAAUACCGCAUAACGCCUACGGGCUAAAGAGGGGGAUCUUCGGACCUCUCGCGUCAAGAUUAGCCCAGGUGGGAUUAGCUAGUUGGUGAGGUAAUGGCUCACCAAGGCGACGAUCCCUAGCUGGUCUGAGAGGAUGAUCAGCCACACUGGAACUGAGACACGGUCCAGACUCCUACGGGAGGCAGCAGUGGGGAAUAUUGCACAAUGGGCGCAAGCCUGAUGCAGCCAUGCCGCGUGUGUGAAGAAGGCCUUCGGGUUGUAAAGCACUUUCAGUCGUGAGGAAGGUUCAUACGUUAAUAGCGUAUGGAUUUGACG
rnacentral:rRNA from 1 species